GAUGAACGCUGGCGGCGUGCCUAAUACAUGCAAGUCGAGCGAACUGAUUAGAAGCUUGCUUCUAUGACGUUAGCGGCGGACGGGUGAGUAACACGUGGGCAACCUGCCUGUAAGACUGGGAUAACUUCGGAAACCGAAGCUAAUACCGGAUAGGAUCUUCUCCUUCAUGGGAGAUGAUUGAAAGAUGGUUUCGGCUAUCACUUACAGAUGGGCCCGCGGUGCAUUAGCUAGUUGGUGAGGUAACGGCUCACCAAGGCAACGAUGCAUAGCCGACCGGGGAGGGUGAUCGGCCAAACUGGGACUGAGACACGGCCCAGACUCCGACGGGGGGCAGAAGGAGGGAAUCUUCCGCAAUGGACGAAAGUCUGACGGAGCAACGCCGCGUGAGUGAUGAAGGCUUUCGGGUCGUAAAACUCUGUUGUUAGGGAAGAACAAGUACAAGAGUAACUGCUUGUACCUUGACGGUACCUAUCCAGAAAGCCACGGCUAACUACGUGCCAGCAGCCGCAGUAA
rnacentral:rRNA from 1 species